rnacentral:rRNA from 1 species
CCUAGGGUGGCAGCAGUGGGGAAUAUUGCACAAUGGGGGGAACCCUGAUGCAGCAACGCCGCGUGGGUGAAGAAGUACUCCGGUAUGUAUAGCCCUGUCAGCUGGGAAGAAAAUGACGGUACCUGACCACGAAGCUCCGGCUAACUACGUGCCAGCAGCCGCGGUAAUACGUAGGGGGCAAGCGUUAUCCGGAUUUACUGGGUGUAAAGGGAGCGUAGACGGCAAGGCAAGUCUGGAGUGAAAGCCCGUGGCCCAACCACGGGACUGCAUUGGAAACUGUGUUGCUGGAGUGCAGGAGGGGUAGGCGGAAUGCCUAGUGUAGCGGUGAAAUGCGUAGAUAUUAGGAAGAACACCGGUGGCGAAGGCGGCUUACUGGACUGUAACUGACGUUGAGGCUCGAAGGCGUGGGGAGCAAACAGGAUUAGAUACCCGGGUAGUC